rnacentral:rRNA from 1 species
CAGCGCCACAAGUGGCAAUCGUAUUUAUUUGGCCUAAAGCGUCCGUAGCUGGUUAAGUAAAUCUCUUGUGAAAUUGUUUGGCUUAACCAAACAGCGUGCAGGAGAGACUGCUUAGCUAGGGACCGGGAGGAGUCAGAGGUAUGCUGGGGGGAGCGGUAAAAUGCAAUAAUCCUCGGUAGACCACCUGUGGCGAAGGCGUCUGACUAGAACGGGUCCGACAGUGAGGGACGAAAGCCAGGGGAGCAAACCGGAUUAGAUACCCGCGUAGUCC